GACAGAGGGGGGCAAGCGUUGCUCGGAAUCACUGGGCGUAAAGGGCGCGUAGGCGGGAUGGCAAGUCGGUCGUGAAAUCCUUCGGCUCAACCGAAGAACGUCGGCCCGAUACUGCCGUUCUUGAGGGGAUGCAGAGGAGAUUGGAAAUUUCCCCGGGUGUAGCGGUGAAAAUGUGUAGAGAUCGGGGAGGAACACCGGUGGCGAAGGCGGGUCUCUGGGGCAUCUCCUGACGCUGAGGCGCGAAAGCGUGGGGAGCAAACGGG
rnacentral:rRNA from 1 species